rnacentral:rRNA from 1 species
UGGGGAAUCUUAGACAAUGGGGGAAACCCUGAUCUAGCCAUGCCGCGUGAGUGAUGAAGGCCCUAGGGUCGUAAAGCUCUUUCGCCAGGGAUGAUAAUGACAGUACCUGGUAAAGAAACCCCGGCUAACUCCGUGCCAGCAGCCGCGGUAAUACGGAGGGGGUUAGCGUUGUUCGGAAUUACUGGGCGUAAAGCGCACGUAGGCGGACUGUUAAGUCAGAGGUGAAAUCCCGGGGCUCAACCCCGGAACUGCCUUUGAUACUGGCAGUCUUGAGUUCGAGAGAGGUGAGUGGAAUUCCGAGUGUAGAGGUGAAAUUCGUAGAUAUUCGGAGGAACACCAGUGGCGAAGGCGGCUCACUGGCUCGAUACUGACGCUGAGGUGCGAAAGUGUGGGGAGCAAACAGGAUUAGAUACCCCCGUAGUCC